AUGAUAAAAAGAAUCCUAACUAUCAGUUAAGUGAGAGAAUUCAGUCAAUAUUGACAUCCACAUGUAGCUCAGGCAGGAUGCAUGUGUAAGUUUUGGGUAGAUGGGUGUCCACCUCUCCAAACAAUACCCCAUUCUUAAAUUAGUUUAGGGAUAUGGUUCUGUCCAUUUUUAAUAUCCAACUCUAAAAAUUUUUGACAAUGUCAGCAAUUUUGUCAAAGCAUAUUCUCCUGAAAAAAUUUAUUCUCCCUCCCACACCCCAUCUGAACUUAAUUUUAAAGUGCUGACUGUGCAAUUAAGCACUUGACAUCUGACCAAAAUGCAAAGGUGAACGCCUUCUACUACAUCAAAGACUCAAAGCUGACAAAAAGAAAAAAAACUGCACAUUAACAAAAGACAGUCGGUGGCGAUUACCGUAAUUGAUAAAAGGUUUAUGUAUGUUGAACUUACCGGGCGAUCAGCAAAAGAACCAAACUCUUUGACGAAAAUGUCUCUCAGCAUUUCUGGGUCCGAGAUUAUUAUGCAUGGUUUGCUGCCAAAGACUCCUGUCCGUUUGGAGGAUUGCACCACUGAUUGUAAAUGGACUCAAUAUCAAGUGUAAUAUUCCCUCCGACACGACACUCUAUAAAUAAAUUAAUUUUAACUCA